UACGAAGGGGGCUAGCGUUGCUCGGAAUUACUGGGCGUAAAGCGCACGUAGGCGGCUUUUUAAGUCGGGGGUGAAAUCCUGGAGCUCAACUCCAGAACUGCCUUCGAUACUGGAAAGCUCGAGUCCGGGAGAGGUGAGUGGAACUGCGAGUGUAGAGGUGAAAUUCGUAGAUAUUCGCAAGAACACCAGUGGCGAAGGCGGCUCACUGGCCCGAUACUGACGCUGAGGUGCGAAAGCGUGGGGAGCAAACAGG
rnacentral:rRNA from 1 species